rnacentral:rRNA from 1 species
AUUGAACGCUGGCGGAAUGCUUUACACAUGCAAGUCGAACGGUAGAGGGGGCAACCCCUCGAGAGUGGCGAACGGGCGAGUAAUAUAUCGGAACGUGCCCAGUCGUGGGGGAUAACGUAGCGAAAGUUACGCUAAUACCGCAUACGAUCUAAGGAUGAAAGCGGGGGAUCGCAAGACCUCGCGCGAUUGGAGCGGCCGAUAUCAGAUGAGGUAGUUGGGGGGGUAAAGGCUCACCAAGCCAACGAUCUGGAGCUGGUCUGAGAGGACGACCAGCCACACUGGAACUGAGACACGGUCCAGACUCCUACGGGAGGCAGCAGUGGGGAAUUUUGGACAAUGGACGCAAGUCUGAUCCAGCCAUUCCGCGUGCAGGAUGAAGGCCCUCGGGUUGUAAACUGCUUUUGUACGGAACGAAAAGGUCUCUCUUAAUACGGGGGGCUCAUGACGGUACCGUAAGAAUAAGCACCGGCUAACUACGUGCCAGCAGCCGCGGUAA